UACAGCCAUAUCACAUUGAAAUACCAGUUCUCAUAUCAUCACUGAAGUUAAGCAAUGUCAAGCCUGGUCUGUACUUAGAUAGGUGACUGCUUGGGAAUACCAGUUGCUGUAAG